rnacentral:rRNA from 1 species
AACUCUGGUAUUGAUUGGUGCUUGCAUCAUGAUUUACAUUUGAGUGAGUGGCGAACUGGUGAGUAACACGUGGGAAACCUGCCCAGAAGCGGGGGAUAACACCUGGAAACAGAUGCUAAUACCGCAUAACAACUUGGACCGCAUGGUCCGAGCUUGAAAGAUGGCUUCGGCUAUCACUUUUGGAUGGUCCCGCGGCGUAUUAGCUAGAUGGUGGGGUAACGGCUCACCAUGGCAAUGAUACGUAGCCGACCUGAGAGGGUAAUCGGCCACAUUGGGACUGAGACACGGCCCAAACUCCUACGGGAGGCAGCAGUAGGGAAUCUUCCACAAUGGACGAAAGUCUGAUGGAGCAACGCCGCGUGAGUGAAGAAGGGUUUCGGCUCGUAAAACUCUGUUGUUAAAGAAGAACAUAUCUGAGAGUAACUGUUCAGGUAUUGACGGUAUUUAACCAGAAAGCCACGGCUAACUACGUGCCAGCAGCCGCGGUAAUACGUAGGUGGCAAGCGUUGUCCGGAUUUAUUGGGCGUAAAGCGAGCGCAGGCGGUUUUUUAAGUCUGAUGUGAAAGCCUUCGGCUCAACCGAAGAAGUGCAUCGGAAACUGGGAAACUUGAGUGCAGAAGAGGACAGUGGAACUCCAUGUGUAGCGGUGAAAUGCGUAGAUAUAUGGAAGAACACCAGUGGCGAAGGCGGCUGUCUGGUCUGUAACUGACGCUGAGGCUCGAAAGUAUGGGUAGCAAACAGGAUUAGAUACCCUGGUAGUCCAUACCGUAAACGAUGAAUGCUAAGUGUUGGAGGGUUUCCGCCCUUCAGUGCUGCAGCUAACGCAUUAAGCAUUCCGCCUGGGGAGUACGGCCGCAAGGCUGAAACUCAAAGGAAUUGACGGGGGCCCGCACAAGCGGUGGAGCAUGUGGUUUAAUUCGAAGCUACGCGAAGAACCUUACCAGGUCUUGACAUACUAUGCAAAUCUAAGAGAUUAGACGUUCCCUUCGGGGACAUGGAUACAGGUGGUGCAUGGUUGUCGUCAGCUCGUGUCGUGAGAUGUUGGGUUAAGUCCCGCAACGAGCGCAACCCUUAUUAUCAGUUGCCAGCAUUAAGUUGGGCACUCUGGUGAGACUGCCGGUGACAAACCGGAGGAAGGUGGGGAUGACGUCAAAUCAUCAUGCCCCUUAUGACCUGGGCUACACACGUGCUACAAUGGAUGGUACAACGAGUUGCGAACUCGCGAGAGUAAGCUAAUCUCUUAAAGCCAUUCUCAGUUCGGAUUGUAGGCUGCAACUCGCCUACAUGAAGUCGGAAUCGCUAGUAAUCGCGGAUCAGCAUGCCGCGGUGAAUACGUUCCCGGGCCUUGUACACACCGCCCGUCGCACCAUGAGAGUUUGUAACACCCAAAGUCGGUGGGGUAACCUUUUAGGAACCAGCCGCCUA